rnacentral:sRNA from 1 species
UAAAAAAACUUUUUGCCGUAGACAGUAGGGGCAAAUGCUUAAUAACCUACCGAGGAAAGUAUAUUAUAUUUUGAUUGCUUUCCCAAUGGGAAAGUUUUUUUAUA